rnacentral:SRP_RNA from 1 species
GCCAGGUGCGGUGGCACGUGCCUGUAGUCCCAGUUACUCAGGAGGCUGAGGUGGGAGGAUCGCUUGAGCCCGGGAGUUCUGGGCUGUAGUGCGCUAUUCCGAUCAGGUGUCUGCACUAAAUUUGGGAUCAAUAUGGUGACCUCCCGGAAGCGGGGGACCACCAGGUUGCCUAAGGAGGGGUGAACCGGCCCAGUUCAGAAAACGGAGCAGGUCAAAACUCCCGUGCUGAUCAGUAGUGGGAUCGCGCCUGUCAAUAGUCACUGCACUCCAACCUGGGCAACAUAGCGAGACCCCAUCUCU